rnacentral:rRNA from 1 species
UACAGAGACUGCAAGCGUUAUUCGGAUCACUGGGCGUAAAGGGUGCGCAGGCGGUUGGGUGUGUCAGAUGUGAAUCCCGAGGCUCAACCUCGGAACUGCGUCUGAAACUACUCGACUAGAGUACUGGAGAGGGUAACGGAAUUCACGGUGUAGCAGUGAAAUGCGUAGAGUAUCGAUGGACGGAACACCAGGAGGCGAAGGCUGGUUACCUGGAGAGUUAACUGACGCUCGAGG